GGGUAUCGGUCACGCUUUUUGACGACGUAGGAAAACGGGGCCGUGCCGUGCCGUAGAGUAGGAACAGGGAGGGAGGGGGCGUGGGAUCCCAAAGGUGGUGGAAGCGGCCUCGCAGAGGGGCCGUCGAAGAGCCCGCGUCGUCCCCGCGGCGCCGUCCUACAGGGGCCGCUAGCGCGAAGUCGCACGCCGGCGCACCGACGAGGCCCCUCGGCGGCCGCGGCCGCGCGGCUCCCGGCGCAGGAGGCGGCGCGACGGCCCGUACCCGCCCCGGGACGACAGAGGGCGCGCGCCUAACGUCCCCUCCCUCCGCCGACCCAAGGAGCCGUAGACCCCUCCCGGGCGCCGCCCGCCGCCGCCCAGGACCACCAAGGCCACGCGGCGGUCGUCGCACGGGUCCGGCCCGGACGACUACCUCGUCGAGGAGCAGCCGCCGCCCGCGAGGAAGCGCUGGCCACGGCGAGGCCUUCUCCACAGAAAGUCGGGCCGGCGGGCGCUCCGCCUGCAGAGCGUCGGACUCUUUAGGCAUCCGUGGCGUCUAUUCUGAUACAAUCCUCUAUCCAGGAACUUCGAACAAAGUCCCCAUACAAUAGAUGGUGUAGGCCUAUUCCUUCUUUGACCACCACUCCUACGUGUAAAAUAAACCCUACUUGUCCGAUAUCCGUAUCGACUACCGCAACCACCAACCCGUUCGAUGCCAUAACUACGUCCAGUUAUACGAUCUCUAUAAUACAGAUUACGUCAUUGACGUUAUCUUCUUCUCGGUUUUCUAAGUUAACUAGAAUGUUCCCAUGACCUUUUCCGGGUAUCAUCGUGUUGUCACGGCCCAAGUAGCUGGCGUACAUAGUAACGAUAUUGUUUAGUCCCUUAUGUUCGUUAAUUAGAACCACUGUCACCGAAAUAUCAGUAGGCUCUACCGACGUGUAACACAUCCAGUGGACAUGUUGUUGUACUAAAGUUAAAGAGGAUGGUUGAAGUCUCACCGUUGAGCUCACUGAACGGAUUACGACGUGUCCAGAAGUUCCAUGGACAGCGCAGACCACUACAUUAACAGCGACCUUGUCUACCCAACAAACUAUUGGACAUGUUGUUACUAUAUUGUCGACAUCACCAGGUACGUUGGUCUCGACCGGACCUUGGAGUUCACUGCCGGGUCUUCUAUCGCCGCGAGCGUGCGGUCGCCCGUGUCCUGUUCUUGUCCGGCUGCGGCAAAAGCUGGCGCCGGGUUCUGCGACCCAUGGCCAUGAUACCGCCCUUCGACCUGCUGUAGUGGCAGCACCAGAGUGUACAUUUCUUCGACCUACUAAAUUAAAAACGCCCCUAAGGACGACGUCACUUCCCUUCCUCGGUUUUAAGACCACGAAGGAGGUCAACAGACGUUUUCACUGUCCUUCUGAUACUUUCUCUUGUUCGACGCCGGCACCUUGUGUCCAAUAUCGUAUGUUCGUUACCUCUCCGGCUCACAGACGGUCCAAAACAAAGCCGUAGUAGUUGCAGAAGCUAUUGAUCCAGAUUUUAUAAGUAGGACAAGGCGUGGUGCCGGCGUGGAUACUGCCAGCAGUAACCAUCAUUCUAUUUUCUCCUCAACAGCGAAACCCGCAACCGCCCACGGUUCGUAAACUCACAACAUUACGGCGCUCUCAUCUAAAAUAAAGAUCGGUGAAGCACCGGACAGAUUUGGAAGAAGAAUUAGUUACUUUACCGUUUAGAAAACGGAACAAAUUUUUUUAUUUAUUUAUGUCUCAUAUCAAAAACAUGGUAUGUAUAAGAUAUAACAUAUAUACUCGUGUAUAAAG
rnacentral:rRNA from 1 species